AUGGCAUAUACCAUGGCUAAUGUAAGCAAACUAUGUAUAAAAGCCAGCUCUGGAAUACACUCAUUUGAGAGUCUUGUAAAGCUGUUGUCCGUGUGUUAUUGCUUACAAUGAUCCUCCAUCAACAUUGAUUAUGGUGACCGAGGGAUCGAGAACCGAGGGGAUUAGAGUCCAUUACAACAUUAACCCUUUCAGCUUGGUGUCAGAAGUGGGAUAGAUAGAAGUUGGAUCAGCAAAACCAUUUG